AGCUUUGCUCAGUGGCAGUAUUGUAGCCAAUGAGGUCUUACCUGAGGCACGAUUAUUGCUAAUUGAAAACUUUUUUCAAAACCCCACCAUGACGACUUGAAAUGUAGUCACCACUGGCAAUUUUUGGCAGUCUCUAUGGAGA
rnacentral:snRNA from 1 species